GACGAACGCUGGCGGCGUGCUUAACACAUGCAAGUCGAACGGAAAGGCCCUGCUUUUGUGGGGUGCUCGAGUGGCGAACGGGUGAGUAACACGUGAGUAACCUGCCCUUGACUUUGGGAUAACUUCAGGAAACUGGGGUUAAUACCGGACAGGAGCCCCUGUUGCAUGGAGGGGGUUGGAAAGUUUCGGCGGUCGGGGCUGGACUCGCGGCUUAUCAGCUUGUUGGUGGGGUAGGGGCUUACCAAGGCUUUGACGGGUAGCCGGCAUGGGAGGGUGACCGGCCACAUUGGGACUGCGAUACGGCCCAGACUCCUACGGGAGGCAGCGGUGGCGAAUAUUGCACAAUGGGCGGGAGCCUGAUGCAGCAGCGCCGCGUGCGUGAUGACGGCCUUCGGGUUGUAAACCGCUUUCGCCUGUGACGAAGCGUGAGUGACGGUAAUGGGUGAAGAAGCACCGGCUAACUACGUG
rnacentral:rRNA from 1 species